UUAUUCUGGAACAUUAGGGGCUUCGGCCCUAGGGGGCGUCGGGACCAGUUGAGGGAUGUUGUUAGAGGUGACAACAUUGAUAUAGUAGGGCUGGUUGAAACCUUUAAGGGUUCAUUCUCUCCUAACGAGCUCUCCAUGGUUGCGGGUAGUGAUAGGUUUGAUUGGAAUUUCUUGCCUUCUUCUGGCCAUUCCGGUGGUACCCUUAUUGGCACUAUGCGUGAUGUUUUUGAUUUUGUGGCCUUUGAUCACGGCGUUUUUUGGGCGAGUACUGUAGUUUAUCACCGGCACCUUCAUGCUCUCUGGGAGGUCAUGGUUGUGUAAGGGCCCGCCGAUCAUUCCCUCUCUCCGUUGUUCCUGAAUGAGAUCUUAGAUAAGAUCGAAUCGCAUACUAUUCCCAUCUUGGUGGGAGGUGGUUUCAAUUUACUU
rnacentral:rRNA from 1 species